rnacentral:lncRNA from 1 species
UGAGGCGCUUGCAGAACUAAGAUGUUCCAGUUCAAUCGCUGCCUUUUAUAUUGUUGAUUGAUAGCCGCCACGGAAUUUAUCUGCUGCUUCACUCCCAAAUUUCAACCUUGGUGUUGUUCCAAUUUCAAAUUGCCAGGUUAGGUUUUCAAUUAAUCUUAUUUUUCUUCUUCUUCUUCUUCUUCGUUUUCUUUGAAAUUAUUGCAAAAUUUUCUUCACAAUGGAAAUCGAAAUCAAUCAUUAUGAAGUUCUAGGGUUUAAAACAACUGGUGUUGAAGAAGGAUCAUCAAAAUUAAGCUUAGAUGAAAUCACAAAAGCAUAUAGAAGACGAAAUUUUCUGUUUCAGCAUAAGGCCUCUGCACUGUAACUCAACGACCAUUGAGAAAAUAAAACCCAUAUGCAUGUGUCCUUAUUCUUUGAGAUACAGGUUUUGUUAAUCUCAAAUACCGUUACAGCCAUUGUUUUUUAUUUAGUGUUUUUGUUAAUAGAAUUUUCAAUGUGAAUAAUAAGAUUUUAAUCACGAUGUACAAAAUUAAAUUUCUAUUUACCAAUCAUGUUAUUGGUUUUGAUCAGAUUUUAUAUAUAUUUUUUUCAUAGACCUUAUAAUUCCAUCUUCCUUCUUCGAAUAGCAGAUCAAGAAGGGCAUGGCUGCUUCCAGGAAGAAUUGGAGUUCAAGGUGUAGUAGAACGAGAAGUUCAAGCAUGGAUUCAAACAAAAUUGUCGCUUCCACAACUGAAGGUAUAUUCAAUUUUAUCGUGUUAUGAUUUCUUUGAGAUUUUAUUGUGUUAAAUUUAAGUUUUUUUCUCGAAACUCAAUUUAAGAUUUUUUACAUUUAUUUUUUCGUGCACAAACCAUGUUCGAAUCAGUUAAAUUUUUUCACGCAUUCAUGACAAAUUUUUGAAAACACUUGCAUACACUGAUCGGAAAAUUACAUGUUUGGAUGCUUCAUGGUUAAUUGUAGAAGCCAUAUAAAGAUGACACCAUACUAAUUUUAUUGGCUUGGAUGUAUUGUUGAAUUCUCUUUGAUUUAAGGAAAAAUCUCUUAUUGAUUUGUGUACUUUAUAUAUGCUCUCAUAGUUCAUAUCUAUAAUUCUUAAUCAACCUUAUGAAUUGAAUUCUAUGCAACAGAAGGGCAAUCAAUUCGUGAAUCAAUCACAAUGAGAAACCACUGUGAUAUAUGUUUCUAUAAUCUGAUACAACCGAAUACUUAAUAAUGAAGAUGAGUGAAACCAUAACUAGACCAUAAUCUGUGUAGUAUGCUCAGUCAUGUAGUUUAAUUGUGUUGUUCACUAAAACUUAAAAUUACAUUGGAACAUUGACCUUAGCUCGAGAGACUUUAUUAGUUAUAGCAAUCAACUGUAGAUCACCAGACAAUGCUACUAACUAUGUUUCUAAUGUAGCAGUAUACGUAAAUUACUAUUAACGAAUUGAAAACCAGAGGAGUAUCCAAAUCAAUCCACAGUUAACUUUGGAUUAACUUCAUAGAAAACAAAGAGUUCAGUUUAUAGAUCGACACAUACACAUAUUCUCAACUCUUACCAUCAACUCCAACUAUUUAACAUAGUGCAUUCUUUAAAUGAGUUACCUAAUGCACAGUCUGACCAACUUGAUCAACAUGUUGAAAUUAAUGAAAACACAUGCACAUUUGAUUGACUUUAAUUUCAUUGAUUAGUUAUCAUAGUUCAAACAAAGAGAUAAUUCGUUAUACAAUCAUCAUAUGAUAGAAAUUAGAAAUCUCCUCAUCGGUUUUAUUCAUCAGACUGAACAAUUUUGAUUGAUGAUUAGAGUCAAUUCAACAUUGUUGAUAAAUUUUCAAGAGGGAAUGUGUUGGAUUGAAUGAUAUAUUAUUAGAGACUAUCCAAAGGAGUACUUUGGAUUAACAUGUCUAAGAUCUUUGCUUAAUGUCAAGAACAUUGGUGGUAUUUUCUUGCAUCAUAUGAUGUUAUAUUCACUUGGUAUUUAUUGUUAAUUGGUGUUAUGCUUUUGUUUUCAUCUAGACUCACACCAUUCACUAAGAUUUUUUUUUUUUUUGUCAUGUCGGUUUUCUAUUAUAAUAUAUUAUAAGAAGUUGUUUAAGUAAUAGAAAUAGUGGGGAUCGAUUAAGCUUGGAUUAAUUUAAGAAGUUCUUGAUCAAUAGGUAUUGCUAUGGAGAAGACUAAAGUGUAUUGUAUAACACAUGGAUAACAAACUCUUUGUCAUCUUUGCAUUUUGAAGUUGGGGAUUGAUUUGGUUGACACGGUAUAUAUGGGUAUGCAAAUAAAUUGGCUAUCGAAUUUGGCGAUUAGUUUCAGUCAUUAGGAGAUAUAUUUUGUCUGAUUUUUGUAUAGCUAAAAAUACUUGAUUUUUUGUGAUCGGAAACAUUAAUCUAAUGUAUUUUGUACAUGAACUGAAUUUGUUGUUAACAGGAGGGAAUGGAAUUUGAGGGCAACUAGACCUUUGAUUAUUCUUCAGUGGUCGAGCUACUGCGUUAGCUGGGCAAACCACAAUGCAAAUUGAUUUUGUCAUACCAGUUCAUGAAAGUCUAUCCGUCAAGGAGAAAAAGUGAAUCUUGCGUGGACAAUGGUUUCCAUAUAACCAUCAGAAAGAAGGAUGAGGAAGCAGCAAGAGACAUGGAGGUCAUGGUCAAGGAAGAAGGUUGACAUUUUUGGAUUACAUUGCAUCUAAUGGACUUAGCUUUCUUUUCCACAUUGAAGACACCAUCUAAGAGUUCCAGUACUGACUUAUAGGUAUUAACUCUUUCAAGUUAUUUCUAUCCUAUAAAUGAUCUCUUAUGAUUGGUGAACUUCUACUGCAAGGCUUUAAAGAGUGUAAGUCUCUUGCUGUUCAGAUCGUGGUUCAUGCAGAAAAUGGAGGCGAUUUUGCUGAGGGGGAUGAUAGAUCUUGGUAUCACAGGUGUAGACGGGUACGCACGUUCUAGGCACCCUGAGGUAUCUCAGAUCUUGGUACACUUCCUUGGUUUUGCUUAUUCCUAUGAUCAUUUCUGUUAUUAUUUCUAUAGUCUAUAGUUACAUAAUCAAGCACAACUUAAGUAGUUUCAUUGAAGUAAUCAAGAAUAUUGAAGUAAAGUUUUGACAAACAGGUUGAAGAGGUUAAGAGACUGACUUGGCAUCCGUUGAGACGAGAAGGUUCAAUGAAUGCAAAUUACCGCUAUAUACAGAGCUCUGAUCAUUAGUUUGGAGACUCUGAUUACACCAUAUAUAGCAACACAUAUUUCAAUUUUUAUUUUGUAUUUUUGCUUUUAUUUCUAUUUUUUUGCUCUGUAAUAGUGUUGUGUUUACUAUGUCAUAGAAUUCUUAGGGAUAUUAUCUAUCACACAACCCCUACCUCUGUAGCUUUUUAUCACAUUCUCAGUAACUUAUUAAAGUCCAUGACUGUAACAUAUGGUUCACACAUCUUCCCUAGUAAACCGAGGAUUAGGAUAUUAUGCUUUAAUUGAUAUAAAAUGAAAUUCCAUUUAUCUUUAAAUGGACUUUGUGAAGAAAAUUGAAUAUUUGUCAUUCAGGAAAUGCAACAAUCUUGACUGCAACAUGAACUGAAUAUUAACGACUCUACAAUUUAUACAUUGCUAUGCAAACUUACAGAUGUUGUCGUGACUCAGAUUGCUAAUUUUGCUUCGCUCAGUGUUUGUAAAGUCGAUACUAUUCUACUGUAUAAUAAUUAUUCUAUUGUAUAAUAAGUGUGAAUUUACAACACUCGACGCAUAUCAUUCAUCAAAUUUCAUUGUUUUGCUUACACUAUAUUGAAAAUUACAUCAUCAGAAUGGUAUCUUCUAUUAAACCCCCACAUAUAGGAGAGUUUUAUGAGAUGAAAAUAUCAAGAAAGUUUAGAUUACAAAUGGCUAUUAAACCCCCACAUAUAGGAGAGUUUUAUGAGAUGAAAAUAUCAAGAAAGUUUAGAUUACAAAUGGACGUAAUGCGUAUAUGACAAUUUGACAUUUGUUUGUACAAUUUAUGUAUUGUUUAGCAUCAAACUAAAUAUUAGUAUUAUGAAAUCACAAAUCAUAAUACCUUUGAGCAAUACCAUGCAUUACAAAUGCUUUUUUCCAUUUUAUAAGAUACCACCAAUCCCGGUGUGUAACACGGGUUCAACAACUAGUAAAUACGGAGUAUAAAUUUUUUCCAGACGCAUGGGUCCACCAACUAGUUGUAUAUCUAUACUAUUUUAUAAGGGCGCCUCAUUCCCGAGGCGUCUGCGAAGCCUUAUGUGUCGCAUUUCUAACAGAACAACGUAUUUACUUGCAUAAUUCCAAAUGUACCCCUAAUAUAUUAUGAGUUGUAUACUAUAAUAAAAGGGGUAAUAAGGUAAUUUUAAAAAGUGGGAUCUACAAUAAUUUAUCAUCUAUAUAAAAAAUCUAUAGAGUUUGUUAAAAAGGAAAAAAAAAAAAAACUGCAAAAAUAAAAAAUUAAUUUUUAUAUAAUAGCUAUAAAUUAAAUAAAUAUUCAAAAAAAAAUCCAUUAUUUCUUUAAUUAUUGGCUAUUUUUUUUUGUUCGCACGCAUACGCUUGCACAUUCACAUAGUAUUGUAUAUAUGGACUUUAAGUCUUUAACCAUAUUCCAAAUGGAUCUAGUAUUUUAAAUUGUGACCCCAAAUCUCGAUUUAUUCCAUCGAAGAUAAAGGGCCUACCUGUUGAUGAGGCGCUUGCAGAACUAAGAUGUUCCAGUUCAAUCGCUACCUUUUAUAUUGUUGAUUGAUAGCCGCCACGGAAUCUUUCUGCUGCUUCACUCCCAAAUUUCAACCUUGGUGUUGUUCCAAUUUCAAAUUGCCAGGUUAGGUUUUCAAUUAAUCUUAUUUUUCUUCUUCUUCUUCGUUUUCUUUGAAAUUAUUGCAAUUUCUUCACAAUGGAAAUCGAAAUCAAUCAUUACGAAGUUCUAGGGUUUAAAACAACUGGUGUUGAAGAAGGAUCAUCAAAAUUAAGCUUAGAUG